AAAUUGAAGAGUUUGAUCAUGGCUCAGAUUGAACGCUGGCGGCAGGCCUAACACAUGCAAGUCGAACGGUAACAGGAAGCAGCUUGCUGCUUCGCUGACGAGUGGCGGACGGGUGAGUAAUGUCUGGGAAACUGCCUGAUGGAGGGGGAUAACUACUGGAAACGGUAGCUAAUACCGCAUAAUGUCGCAAGACCAAAGAGGGGGACCUUCG
rnacentral:rRNA from 2 species